GGGGAGUGUCUGCAAACAGUCCUGUGAUGUGAACCAUCUUCAGGUCUCGCAGCCAUGGAUACCACCACGUGCUCUGGUGGAGGUAGCAGGGGAGUGAAGUGGACUCCAUGAGGUCCUUGGUUGUAUUUUUGUUUAGUGCACUGGUUUUGUGUUGAUUGGCCUCUAGCCAGGAAGUGGUGCUUUCAAGAGCACAUCACCUUCAGUACUAUAGGGAGGAUGCAAACUUGCCC
rnacentral:lncRNA from 1 species